rnacentral:rRNA from 1 species
GAUAAACGCUGGCGGCGUGCUUCAGGCAUGCAAGUCGAACGCCCCGACUCGUCGGGGAGUGGCGGACGGGUGAGUAACACGUAAGUAACCUGCCCGGAAGUGGGGAAUAACCCGCCGAAAGGCGAGCUAAUUCCGCAUGUGGUGGUCUUUCCCUGGAGAGGUCACUAAAGGCGAAAGUCGCUUCCGGAGGGGCUUGCGGCCGAUUAGCUAGUUGGUGGGGUAACGGCCUACCAAGGCUGCGAUCGGUAGCUGGCUGAGAGGACGGUCAGCCACACGGGGACUGAGAUACGGCCCCGACUCCUACGGGAGGGCAGCAGCUAGGAAUCUUGGGAAGUGGGCGGAAAGCCUGACCCACGCAACGCCGCGUGGGCGAUGAAGGCCUUCGGUCGUAA